rnacentral:rRNA from 1 species
AUUGAACGCUGGCGGCAGGCCUAACACAUGCAAGUCGAGCGGCAGCGGGACCUUCGGGUUGCCGGCGAGCGGCGGACGGGUGAGUAAUGCCUAGGAAUCUGCCUGUUAGUGGGGGAUAACGCGGGGAAACUCGCGCUAAUACCGCAUACGUCCUACGGGAGAAAGCGGGGGCUCUUCGGACCUCGCGCUAACAGAUGAGCCUAGGUCGGAUUAGCUAGUUGGUGGGGUAAUGGCUCACCAAGGCGACGAUCCGUAACUGGUCUGAGAGGAUGAUCAGUCACACUGGAACUGAGACACGGUCCAGACUCCUACGGGAGGCAGCAGUGGGGAAUAUUGGACAAUGGGCGAAAGCCUGAUCCAGCCAUGCCGCGUGUGUGAAGAAGGUCUUCGGAUUGUAAAGCACUUUAAGUCGGGAGGAAGGGCUGUAGGUUAAUACCCUGCGGUUUUGACGUUACCGACAGAAUAAGCACCGGCUAACUUCGUGCCAGCCGCCGCAGUAA